rnacentral:rRNA from 1 species
GAUGAACGCUGGCGGUAUGCUUAACACAUGCAAGUCGAACGGACUCUUCGGAGUUAGUGGCGGACGGGUGAGUAACGCGUGAGAAUCUGGCUUUGGGUUCGGGACAACCACUGGAAACGGUGGCUAAUACCGGAUGUGCCGAGAGGUAAAAGAGAAAUUGCCUGAAGAUGGGCUCGCGUCUGAUUAGCUAGUUGGUGAGGUAAAGGCUCACCAAGGCAGCGAUCAGUAGCUGGUCUGAGAGGAUGACCAGCCACACUGGGACUGAGACACGGCCCAGACUCCUACGGGAGGCAGCAGUGGGGAAUUUUCCGCAAUGGGCGAAAGCCUGACGGAGCAAUACCGCGUGAGAGAAGAAGGCUCUUGGGUUGUAAACCUCUUUUCUUAGGGAAGAACAAAAUGACGGUACCUAAGGAAUCAGCAUCGGCUAACUCCGUG